GAUGAACGCUGGCGGCGUGCCUAAUACAUGCAAGUCGAACGCUGGAAAUCUAGCUUGCUAGAUUGAAGGAGUGGCGAAGGGGUGAGUAAUACAUAAGCAACCUACCCACGAAGACUGGGAUAAUCUAUGGAAACGGGGACUAAUACCGAAUAGGUAAUCGGAAGGCAUCUUCUGAUGAUUAAAGGGCAAAAACACUGGUGGAUGGGCUUGUGGCGCAUCAGUUAGUUGGUGAGGUAAGGGCCCAACAAGACGAAGAGGCGUAGCCGACCGGAGCGGGUGAAAGGCGACAUUGGGGCUGGGACACGGCCCAGACUCCUACGGCACGCAGCAGAAGGGAACUUUCGGCAAUGGGGGAGACCCUGGCAGAGCGGCGCCGCGUGAGUGAUGACGGCCUUCGGGUUGUAAAGCUCUGUUGUAAGGGAAGAACGGUAGAUAGAGAAUAUCUAAAUGACGGUACCGUACCAGAAAGCCACGGCUAACUACGUG
rnacentral:rRNA from 1 species